UGAUGGUGAAAGUCGAACUCUAUCUUAUAAAGAAAAUGAAGAUAAGAAAACAUAGCUCUGAAUUCAUAUCAUGAGAAGUAGGGCCAUGACAAAUUUAAAGCUCGGGGUCAUUCUUCAGUCUUUACUCGAUGGGAAAUUAAAGAGGAUUGUGUGGGUGUGGUGGAUGUCCUUUUUGGCUUUUGAAAUAUUACAUUAUUACUUUAGACAAACAUGUUGGUGCAAUCAAUCAUGCAUGCCCUGUCCAACCUCCCCACUCCACUGCUAUGCCUAUGCGGUUAUGCCCC
rnacentral:lncRNA from 1 species